UUGGACCUAGAUUUUGAUCUAUUUUUGGACUUACUUCUACCCUGUCCUCCUUUUUUCUGUUCAUCUCUACCUCUAACAGUAAGACCUUGAGCUGGAGUCUGAGCCUGAUGCUGAAGCUGUACUUUUAAUCUAAGUUCAUUGGAUAACAAAGUAGCUUCUACUUCUUCAAGACUUAUUGUUUCUCUUCCAUAAAGCAUGGUAGUGGUAAUAUGCUCAAAGGACUU
rnacentral:lncRNA from 1 species